GAGAGUUUUCGUGUUCACUAUGGCUGAAUACAUUUGAUUUAUGAAAAGCUAAAACUGACACAGACAAAAUACAUUGUAAACACAGCCUAUUUAGGCAGGCGCUAAAUCGGUGUAAACUAUUAUGCAAAGAUGAACAAUACCGUCAUUAGUAUUUUUGCGCACUGUGCUUAUACGUGAUAGUUUCUCAAUAUUUUGUAUUUGCCAAGAUACUUUUG